rnacentral:misc_RNA from 1 species
UACGGAGGGAGCGAGCGUUGUUCGGAAUCACUGGGCGUAAAGCGUGCGUAGGCGGCUUGGCAAGUCAGAAGUGAAAUCCCGGGGCUCAACCCCGGAACUGCUUUUGAAACUGCCUUGCUAGAGUCCGGUAGAGGUUAGGAGAAUUCCCAGUGUAGAGGUGAAAUUCGUAGAUAUUGGGAGGAAUACCAGUGGCGUAGGCGCCUAACUGGACCGGUACUGACGCUCAGGCACGAAAGCGUGGGGAGCAAACAGG